rnacentral:rRNA from 1 species
AGUGAACGCUGGCGGUAGGCCUAACACAUGCAAGUCGAACGGCAGCACAGUAAGAGCUUGCUCUUACGGGUGGCGAGUGGCGGACGGGUGAGGAAUACAUCGGAAUCUACUUUUUCGUGGGGGAUAACGUAGGGAAACUUACGCUAAUACCGCAUACGACCUACGGGUGAAAGCAGGGGAUCUUCGGACCUUGCGCGAUUGAAUGAGCCGAUGGCGGAUUAGCUAGUUGGCGGGGUAAAGGCCCACCAAGGCGACGAUCCGUAGCUGGUCUGAGAGGAUGAUCAGCCACACUGGAACUGAGACACGGUCCAGACUCCUACGGGAGGCAGCAGUGGGGAAUAUUGGACAAUGGGCGCAAGCCUGAUCCAGCCAUACCGCGUGGGUGAAGAAGGCCUUCGGGUUGUAAGGCCCUUUUGUUGGGAAAGAAAAGCAGCAGGUUAAUACCCCGCUGUUCUGACGGUACCCAAAGAAUAAGCACCGGCUAACUUCGUG